GGGAAUGUGGCUUAGUGGUAGAGUGCAUGCCUAGCAUGUUUGAAGCCCUGGGUUCGAUUCCUCAGUACCA
rnacentral:tRNA from 1 species